AGGAAAUGAAGCAGAGUGCGAGCAACUUGUAUGGAUUCCUAAAAGGUCUGGUCAGAGUGUUCCUUUCAAUGCAUACAUCUGGCGGCGAGGGACUAUUCCAAUAUGGUGGGGUGCAGAAUUAAAGCUUACUGCUGCUGAAGCAGAAAUUUAUGUUGCAGAUCGGGAUCCGUAUAAAGGAAGUCUGCAGUAUUAUCAGAGGUUGAGUAAUCGAUAUGAUGCUCGAAACUUUGACUUAGCUGUUGGGGAAAAUCAGAAGAAAAAGCCUUUUAUUCCAAUUGUAUGCAUUAACUUGCUUAGGAAUGCGGAAGGGAAAUCAGAAUCUAUUUUAGUUCAGCAUUUUGAGGAAUCUUUGAACUAUGUCAGAUCAACUGGAAAACUUCUUUAUACUCGAAUAAUUUUAAUAAAUUAUGACUGGCAUGCCAGUACAAAAUUAAAAGGUGAACAACUUACAAUUGAAGGAUUAUGGAAGCAUCUAAAAGCACCCACUCAGGCCGUAGGCAUUUCUGAAGGGGACUAUUUGCCAUCACGGGAACGACUUAAUGAUUGCCGAGGUGAAGUCAUCUGCAAUGAUGACUUUGUGGGUGCCUUUUGCUUAAGAUCCCAUCAGAAUGGAGUGAUACGCUUUAACUGUGCAGACUCUCUUGAUCGGACCAAUGCUGCUAGUUAUUUUGGUGCUCUGCAAGUAUUUGUGGAGCAAUGUAGGCGGCUUGGGGUCUCCCUUGACAGUGAUUUUGCAUAUGGCUAUCAGUCAGCUAAUAACUAUGGUGGAUAUACUGCUCCUUUGCCACGAGGAUGGGAGAAACGAGCUGAUGCAGUGACAGGAAAAACAUAUUAUAUCGAUCACAACACUAGGACCACAACAUGGAUUCAUCCAUGCCCAGACAAACCUUGGAAGAGAUUUGAUAUGACAUUUGAGGAGUUCAAGCAAUCAACAAUUUUAUCACCAGUGUCUCAGCUAGCAGAUCUUUUUCUGCUUUCUGGUGAUAUCCAUGCAACCCUUUAUACUGGUUCAAAAGCAAUGCAUAGCCAAAUUCUUAAUAUAUUCAAUGAAGAACCAGGAAAGUUCAAACAAUUUUCUGCAGCACAAAAUAUGAAAAUUACUCUGCAGAGAAGAUACAAAAAUGCAGUUGUCGAUAGCUCUCGUCAGAAACAGCUGGAGAUGUUUCUUGGAUUUAGGCUGUUCAGUUCAUUUUUUUGUGGUAGAAAUGUCGUCAUUUUAAAUUUAGUGUAUUUUCAAAAAGCUUAUUUUCUCAGAAUAUAAAAAAUAAAAAAAUAAAAAAAGAAUUCUUACAUGUUUCAUCAGCAUGAUUAAAAUCGAAGAAGAAAGCGAGACAUAAUGU
rnacentral:lncRNA from 1 species